rnacentral:rRNA from 1 species
GACGAACGCUGGCGGCGUGCUUAACACAUGCAAGUCGAACGAAGAGCUACGGGAGCUUUCUUCUAUCAAUCUUAGUGGCGGACGGGUGAGUAACGCUUAAUCAACCUGCCCUUCAGAGGGGGACAACAGUUGGGAACGACUUCUAAUACCGCAUACGAGCUAGUCUCGGCAUCGAGUAUGGAUGAAAGGGGGCCUCUACAUGUAAGCUAUCACGGAUGGAUGGGAGUGCGGCUGAUUCGCUAGUUGGAGGGGUAACGGCCGACACAGGCGAUGAUCAGUAGCAGGUCUGACAGGACUAACGGCCACAUUGGGCAUGAGACACGGCCCAGACUCCUAAGGGAGGCAGCAGUGGCGACUCUUACGAAAUGGACGAAAGUCUGAAGGAGCAACGCCGCCAGAGUGAUGACGGCCUUCGGGUUGUAAAGCUUUGUUACUCCGGACGAAAGGCAUAAUUGCGCCUAGUGAGAAGGCUUGACGGUACCGGAAUAGAAAGCCACGGCUAACUACGUG